AUAUAUGCAUCCCCCAAAAUCCAACCGUUACAACAUUAUUGCCCAACUCGGUGACACCGAAAUGAAUCUUGGUGGUACCGAGGUGCACUAAAUGUGGCAACUUUUGAAUUCUCGGUGAGACCGAUAUAGAAAUCUCGGUGGUACCAAUAUGAUGACGUUGACCAGUUUCCAAAUCUUGGUGAGACUGAAUUGAAACUCGGAAAUUCUGAUUCAUGAAAUCUUCUCAACAAAAAGUUGGUCACUGAAUCUCGAUGGCAUCGAUAGGAAUGUUGGUGG
rnacentral:lncRNA from 1 species